UACAGAGGUCUCAAGCGUUGUUCGGAUUCAUUGGGCGUAAAGGGUGCGUAGGUGGCGGGGUAAGUCAGGUGUGAAAUCUCGGGGCUCAACCCCGAAACUGCAUUUGAUACUGCCUUGCUCGAGUACUGGAGAGGAGAUUGGAAUUUACGGUGUAGCAGUGAAAUGCGUAGAUAUCGUAAGGAAGACCAGUGGCGAAGGCGAAUCUCUGGACAGUUACUGACGCUGAGGAGCGAAAGCGUGGGGAGCGAACAGG
rnacentral:rRNA from 1 species